GGCUCGAUAGCGGACGGUCUGCGCCUGCCCUACCUACAACGAUCAUAAGCCAUUUGGUCGCAGGAGAUGCCCGUUCGACCCGGGCUCGGGCCA